UGCAGUCGGCGGUGGCGG
rnacentral:misc_RNA from 1 species